AUUGAACGCUGGCGGCAGGCCUAACACAUGCAAGUCGAGCGGUAGCACAGAGAGCUUGCUCUCGGGUGACGAGCGGCGGACGGGUGAGUAAUGUCUGGGAAACUGCCCGAUGGAGGGGGAUAACUACUGGAAACGGUAGCUAAUACCGCAUAACGUCUACGGACCAAAGUGGGGGACCUUCGGGCCUCACACCAUCGGAUGUGCCCAGAUGGGAUUAGCUGGUAGGUGGGGUAAUGGCUCACCUAGGCGACGAUCCCUAGCUGGUCUGAGAGGAUGACCAGCCACACUGGAACUGAGACACGGUCCAGACUCCUACGGGAGGCAGCAGUGGGGAAUAUUGCACAAUGGGCGCAAGCCUGAUGCAGCCAUGCCGCGUGUGUGAAGAAGGCCUUCGGGUUGUAAAGCACUUUCAGCGAGGAGGAAGGCGUUGUAGUUAAUAGCUGCAGCGAUUGACGUUACUCGCAGAAGAAGCACCGGCUAACUCCGUGCCAGCAGCCGCGGUAAUACGGAGGGUGCAAGCGUUAAUCGGAAUUACUGGGCGUAAAGCGCACGCAGGCGGUCUGUUAAGUCAGAUGUGAAGUCCCCGGGCUUAACCUGGGAACUGCAUUUGAAACUGGCAGGCUAGAGUCUCGUAGAGGGGGGUAGAAUUCCAGGUGUAGCGGUGAGAUGCGUAGAGAUCUGGAGGAAUACCGGUGGCGAAGGCGGCCCCCUGGAC
rnacentral:rRNA from 1 species